rfam:Camelus ferus unplaced genomic scaffold scaffold234, whole genome shotgun sequence.
AAACACGCCUUUGAAUUGGAAAGCCAGAGCUUUCUGCAAAAUAAUUCAAAAAGCUUGUUGACCCUUAAACCUUUCCUGAUGCUCCCUUCCUUCUGAAGUUAACUCAUUAAAGUCGG